rnacentral:rRNA from 1 species
UACGUAGGUGGCGAGCGUUGUCCGGAUUUACUGGGCGUAAAGGGAGCGUAGGCGGACUUUUAAGUGAGAUGUGAAAUACCCGGGCUCAACUUGGGUGCUGCAUUUCAAACUGAAAGUCUAGAGUGCAGGAGAGGAGAAUGGAAUUCCUAGUGUAGCGGUGAAAUGCGUAGAGAUUAGGAAGAACACCAGUGGCGAAGGCGAUUCUCUGGACUGUAACUGACGAUGAGGCUCGAAAGCGUGGGGAGCAAACAGGAUUAGAUACCCU